GCGUAGUCGUGGGCAGUAGUGCGGUUGGGAUAUUUCAGCCAGGACCUGUAGUGGGUGUCUGGUGGGUGCAGAUGACAAACGUUGAGCCGGCGCGGGAAAGCGUUGGUGAUGGAACUGCUGAACACACUAUUGGGCUUUGAGACAACAGGCCCGUGCCCCUUUCGGGGGGUGGCGCUCCGUUGGGGGUGUCGGCGUGUUGUUGCUCCGCUUUGGUGGUGGGGUGUGGUGUUUGAUUUGUGGAUAGUGGUUGCGAGCAUCUAGCACGCAGUGUGGCUGGGGGCCUUCGGGUUUCCGGUCUUGUUGUGUGUUGAUGUGCAAUUUCUUUUGAAACUCAUUUUUGGUUUUUGUGUUGUAAGUGUCU
rnacentral:misc_RNA from 1 species